UCUGGCCUCAGGACUCCGGCCUGGGCUGUGCGUAGCCCCCUCCCUGCCCUGCAGCCCCUGGGCCGGCGGCACCCUUUAAACUACGGCAGGGCGGUGGCGCGGAGGGCCGGAGGGCCCGGGGCCCAGGGGAAGACGGCGGCCUGCGCGGAGGAAGAAGCCAAUGCGGCUGGUGGAGCAUGAGCGCCCCAGAUUCUGGCCGUCGCAGCUCUAGAUCCCGAGGAAGACUGGCUCAGGGAGGGCCAGGCGCCAGCCUGGAGGCUCAGAAGUCGGACCUCCAUAUUGGGACGGCGGCUGCUGUCUACUGAGCACCGACUGUAUGCCAGGAGGAGGGCCAGAGAUGGACGACUACAUGGAGACGCUGAAGGAUGAGGAGGAUGCCUUGUGGGAGAAUGUGGAGUGCAACCGGCACAUGCUCAGUCGCUACAUCAACCCGGCCAAGCUCACCCCCUACCUGCGCCAGUGUAAGGUCAUUGAUGAGCAGGAUGAAGACGAGGUCCUCAACGCGCCCAUGCUGCCAUCCAAGAUCAACCGGGCAGGCCGACUGUUGGACAUCCUACAUACCAAGGGCCAAAGGGGCUAUGUGGUCUUCUUGGAGAGUCUGGAAUUUUACUACCCAGAACUGUACAAACUGGUGACCGGAAAGGAGCCCACCCGGAGAUUCUCCACCAUUGUGGUGGAGGAGGGCCACGAGGGUCUCACGCACUUCCUCAUGAAUGAGGUCAUCAAGCUACAGCAGCAGAUGAAGGCCAAGGACCUGCAGCGGUGCGAGCUGCUGGCCAAGUCGCGGCAGCUGGAGGACGAGAAGAAGCAGCUGACGCUGACUCGGGUGGAGCUGCUGACGUUCCAGGAGCGGUACUACAAGAUGAAGGAGGAGCGCGACAGCUACAACGACGAGCUGGUCAAGGUGAAGGACGACAACUACAACCUGGCUAUGCGCUACGCCCAGCUCAGCGAGGAGAAGAACAUGGCGGUCAUGAGAAGCCGAGACCUGCAACUCGAGAUUGACCAGCUCAAGCACCGGUUGAAUAAGAUGGAGGAAGAAUGCAAGCUCGAGAGAAACCAGUCUCUGAAACUGAAGAACGACAUUGAGAACCGGCCCAAGAGGGAGCAGGUUCUGGAACUGGAGCGGGAGAAUGAGAUGCUGAAGACCAAAAUCCAGGAGCUGCAGUCCAUCAUCCAGGCAGGGAAGCGCAGCCUGCCCGACUCCGACAAGGCCAUCUUGGACAUCCUGGAGCACGACCGUAAGGAGGCUCUGGAGGACCGGCAGGACCUGGUCAACAAGAUCUACAACCUGCAGGAGGAGGUCCGCCAGGCAGAGGAGCUGCGGGACAAGUACCUGGAGGAGAAGGAGGACCUGGAGUUGAAGUGCUCGACGCUGGGCAAGGACUGUGAGAUGUACAAGCACCGAAUGAACACGGUCAUGCUACAGUUGGAGGAGGUGGAGCGCGAGCGGGACCAGGCCUUCCAUUCCCGGGAUGAAGCCCAGACCCAGUACUCACAGUGCUUAAUCGAGAAGGACAAGUACAGGAAGCAGAUCCGGGAGCUGGAGGAGAAGAACGACGAGAUGAGGAUUGAGAUGGUCCGGCGGGAAGCCUGCAUCGUCAACCUGGAGAGCAAGCUCCGGCGGCUCUCCAAGGACAGCAGCAGCUUGGAGCAGAGUCUACCCAGGAACCUGCCAGUGGCCAUCAUCUCUCAGAACUUUGGGGAUGCCAGCCCCAGGACCAACGGGCAGGAAGCUGACGACUCGUCUACCUCAGAGGAGUCUCCGGAAGACAGCAGAUACUUUCUGCCCUACCACCCCCCCAAACGCAGGAUGAAUCUGAAGGGCAUCCAGCUACAGAGAGCCAGGUCCCCCAUCAGCAUGAAACGAGCCGCAGAUUUCCAAGGGCGAGGGCAUGAAGAAGAAGGCACAGACGCCAGCCCCAGCUCCUCCAGAUCCCUGCCCAUCACCAACUCCUUCUCCAAGAUGCAGCCCCACCGGAGCCGCUCCAGCAUCAUGUCCAUCACCGCCGAGCCCCCCGGAAACGACUCCAUCCUCCGGCGCUACAAGGAAGACGCACCUCACCGCAGCGCAGUCGAAGAAGACAAUGACAGUGGUGGGUUCGACGUCUUGGACUUUGACGAUGACAGUCACGAGCGCUGCUCCUUCGGACCCCCGUCCAUCCACUCCUCCUCCUCCUCCCACCAGUCCGAGGGCCUGGAUGCCUACGACCUGGAGCAAGUCAACCUCAUGUUUAGGAAGUUCUCUCUAGAAAGACCCUUCCGGCCAUCUGUCACGUCCGUGGGUCACGUGCGGGGUCCCGGGCCGUCGGUGCAGCACACCACGCUGAACGGCGACAGUCUCACCUCUCAGCUCACCCUGCUCGGGGGCAACGCAAGAGGGAGUUUUGUCCACGCGGUCAAGCCAGGCUCCCUGGCCGAGAAGGCGGGCCUCCGUGAGGGCCACCAGCUGCUGCUGCUGGAAGGCUGCAUCAAAGGCGAGCGGCAGAGUGUCCCCCUGGACACAUGCACGAAGGAGGAGGUGCACUGGACCAUCCAGAGAUGCAGCGGCCCCGUCACCCUGCACUACAAGCUCAACCAGGAGGGGUACCGGAAGCUGCUGAAAGACAUGGAGGAGGGCCUCAUCACCUCGGGGGACUCCUUCUACAUCCGGCUGAACCUGAACAUCUCCAGCCAGCUGGACGCCUGCUCCCUGUCCCUGAAGUGCGAUGACGUCGUGCAUGUCCGUGACACCAUGUACCAGGACAGGCACGAGUGGCUGUGCGCACGGGUCGACCCUUUCACGGACCACGACCUGGACGUGGGCACCAUACCCAGCUAUAGCCGAGCCCAGCAACUCCUCCUGGUCAAGCUACAGCGUCUGAUGCACAGGGGAAGCCGAGAAGAGACAGACAACACCCACCACACCCUGAGGGCGCUCCGGAACACCCUUCAGCCCGAAGAGCCACUUUCCACCAGUGACCCCCGGGUCAGUCCCCGCCUCUCUCGAGCAAGUUUCCUUUUCGGCCAGCUCCUUCAGUUCGUCAGCAGGUCCGAGAACAAGUACAAGAGAAUGAACAGCAAUGAGCGAGUCCGCAUCGUCUCAGGGAGCCCCCUGGGGAGCCUGACCCGGACGUCCCUGGAUGCCACCAAGCUCUUGACCGAGAAACAGGAAGAGAUGGACCCCGAGAGUGAGCUCAGCAAGAACCUCAGCCUGAUCCCCUACAGCCUGGUGCGUGCCUUCUACUGUGAGCGCCGCCGGCCUGUCCUCUUCACGCCCACCAUGCUGGCCAAGGCUCUGGUGCAGAAGCUGCUCAACUCAGGGGGUGCGAUGGAGUUCACCAUGUGCAAGCCAGAUGUUGUCACCAGAGACGAGUUCCUCAGGAAGCAGAAGACGGAGACCAUCAUCUACUCCCGGGAGAAGAACCCCAACACUUUUGAAUGUAUUGUUCCUGCCAACAUCGAAGCUGUGGCCGCCAAGGACAAACACUGUCUGCUGGAGGCCGGGAUCAGCUGUACCAGGGACUUGAUCAAGUCCAGGAUCUACCCCAUCGUGCUCUUCAUUCGGGUGUCAGAGAAGAACAUCAAGAGGUUCAGAAAGAUGCUGCCGCGGCCCGAGACAGAGGAGGAGUUCCUGCGGCUGUGCCGGCUGAAGGAGAAGGAGCUGGAGGCCCUGCCCUGCCUGUACGCCACGGUGGAGGCCGACAUGUGGGGCAGCGUGGAGGAGCUGCUCCGGGUCCUCAAAGACAAGAUCAGCGAGGAGCAGCGCAAGACCGUCUGGGUGGAUGAGGACCAGUUAUGAGGGGGUCCCCAGAGUCCGAGCGCAGCUCCCAGGGUGUCCAGACCCCAGCAGGCAGUGCCGGGGGGUGAGGGGGCUCCGUCCUCCUGGUCAUGGGCCACCUCCCACCAGGGAGCCCCGGGACAGAUGCAGCUGAGGGGACAGACACUCUCCAGUGGGGACGGGACAGGUUUAUGCCUCCCGGGGCUGACCUGUCCCCAUGGCACCAGCAGGGAAGCAGGGUCCCCCAAAGGACCUGAUGCCAGGCCGGAGGCCAGCGGCCCCAUGGAAGCCGGAACAGGAGAUGAAUGUAACGCAUGGAACAGGUGCCCUCCUUGUAGGCAGGGACCCUGAGCACCAGGCCACCCGCCAGCCCUCGGAACAUGCCAGAUACGCCUUCCCGGGCAGGACAGUUGGGGCGGACGGGGAAACAUGCCAUGCUAUUAUUUUUCUUGCAUUAAAAUCUCUCCAUUUCCUUGAUUUCAGCAUUUAUAAAAUUACAAUUAUUUCAUCGUUGGCAGAGGUGUUCAACUUUUGACCCCUCAGUAACCUGCAGAGCAUUCUGGGAUCACUUAGGUCAAGCCCCAUGUCCGGAGCAGGCAGGGAGACUGGACAUCCCAGUUCAUCCCAGUUCACCCAGGACACACCUGAGUCACCCCUGGUCUUUGGGCGGGAUGGCUCCCAGCCCCUCUUUGACUAAGCUACAUCCUGAUUGUGGUGACAAGCUAUCAAGUCACUCUGGAACGGGACUGUCCUUCCAUAGGCUGCUUGGGAGGUCUCCCCCACCCCCGUCCCAGACUCCAGCCCCAGAGGCCAGGGCCCCUUACUCUGCUCUCCCCAAACGGGCUCUCUGCUUCUCUGCACGUCACGUUCAUACACGCAGCCUGGCUGCUGCUUUCCGUUCAGCAUGCGGGGUGAGGGUCUGGAUUGGAUUUGCUCCCACUGCCUGAGGGCUAGGCUGGCGGGUGUGUGUGCAGGACAGCCGUGCUUUCCCCCACAGCAGAUAGCAGAGGCCCUGUGGGUUCUAGAGCCAUUCUCCUCCUGGACCCCUUCAUGCAGACUUUCCAAGUAUGGACCUGACUGGGCGUGGCCAAAACCAGGCCAGUCCAGCUUGCCACCACGCUGAGUAUUUAUCAAACGGGUAGGUGGCAGGAUGGGCUUCCAUCCCAGGUCUGCGUGUUCAUGGGAACUGGGGGAGAAACUGCUGGUUGACAGCCCACUUACUAACAAGAUCCUGUUUUUAUUCUGGGAAACGGUGUACAGCUAAGAGACCAUAUACCGCAGCCUCCCUUGCAGCUAGGGAGGAAUCAAGAAAAUGUAAGGCAACAAGGUUUGGAGGAAAGACAAAGCAGACAAACAGCCCUUCCUCUAGUUUCCUGCCUGGACUACAGAUGUGAUGGCUGGAGCUCCAGCAGUCAUCUUGGACCUUGAGCCCCCAGAAUCAAGCUGGAAGCACUGGGCCCGGAGAGGCCAUGCUUCUGGAGGCCCAGAUGUGUUAAUUGUCCCCAGAUAAGCCGUCCACCUCUCAAGGAGCCGUAGGAGCUGGAAGGUGUCGGCUUCCGUCUUGCUAGAGCUGUAUGUUGAACAGUAAAUUCUACCCAAGCCGAGGCAGUCGUGUUUCCACUCAUACCCGGUGCUUCCUCAUAAAGUACUUAGAGCCAAGGGGACAGACGUGACCAGAAGAGGGACCCGGAAUAAAAGGUCUGCUGAU